CGUGGGGUGGAGCAGUGGUAGCUCGCCAGGCUCAUAACCUGGAGGUCGCGGGUUCGAUCCCCGCCCCCACUA
rnacentral:tRNA from 1 species